rnacentral:rRNA from 1 species
CCUACGGGAGGCUGCAGUGGGGAAUAUUGGACAAUGGGGGCAACCCUGAUCCAGCCAUGCCGCGUGUGUGAAGAAGGCCCUCGGGUUGUAAAGCACUUUCAGUGAGGAAGAACGCCUGGUGGUUAAUACCCAUCAGGAAAGACAUCACUCACAGAAGAAGCACCGGCUAACUCCGUGCCAGCAGCCGCGGUAAUACGGAGGGUGCGAGCGUUAAUCGGAAUUACUGGGCGUAAAGCGCGCGUAGGUGGCUUGAUAAGCCGGUUGAGAAAGCCCCGGGCUCAACCUGGGAACGGCAUCCGGAACUGUCAAGCUAGAGUGCAGGAGAGGAAGGUAGAAUUCCCGGUGUAGCGGUGAAAUGCGUAGAGAUCGGGAGGAAUACCAGUGGCGAAGGCGGCCUUCUGGACUGACACUGACACUGAGGUGCGAAAGCGUGGGUAGCAAACAGGAUUAGAUACCCGAGUAGUC